rnacentral:rRNA from 1 species
ACCUGGCUCACACCGGUUUAAACUCAGAUCAUGUAAAAUUUUAAAGGUCGAACAGACCUAACAUAUCAGCUUCUACACCAACACUUUAUUUUAAUCCAACAUCGAGGUCGCAAUCUUUUUUUUCGAUAAGAACUCUAAAAAAAAUCACGCUGUUAUCCCUAAGGUAAUUUAAUCUUAUAAUCUUAAUUCAAGGAUCAAAUAUUCAUAAACAAAUGAUUCUUUAUAAAAAAAAGUUUUUUUAAUUUUUUUGUCACCCCAACAAAAUACUUUUCAUAUUAAAUUAUCUUUAAUUCUAAAUUUAAAUUCAACUAAAAAAUAUAAAACUCUAUAGGGUCUUCUCGUCUUCUAUAUUCAUUUAAGCUUUUUAACUUAAAAAUAAAAUUCUAAUCAACUUUAACAGAGACAGAAAUCUUCUCAUCAAACCUUUCAUUCCAGCUUUCAAUUAAAAAACUAAUGAUUAUGCUACCUUUGCACGGUCAUAAUACCGCGGCCAUUAAACUACUCAUUGGGCAGGUCARACUUAAAAUUAUUGUCAAUAAGCC